UACGUAGGGUGCAGGCGUUAAUCGGAAUUACUGGGCGUAAAGCGUGCGCAGGCGGUUUUGUAAGCCAGAUGUGAAAUCCCCGGGCUUAACCUGGGAAUGGCAUUUGGGACUGCAAGGCUUGAGUGCGGCAGAGGAGACUGGAAUUCCCGGUGUAGCAGUGAAAUGCGUAGAUAUCGGGAGGAAUACCGAUGGCGAAGGCAGGUCUCUGGGCUGACACUGACGCUCAUGCACGAAAGCGUGGGGAGCAAACAGG
rnacentral:rRNA from 1 species